UACAGAGGGUGCAAGCGUUAAUCGGAGUUACUGGGCGUAAAGCGUGCGUAGACGGUUACAUAAGUCGGGUGUGAAAGCCCCGGGCUCAACCUGGGAAUUGCAUUCGAGACUGCGUAGCUAGGGUGCGGAAGAGGGAAGCGGAAUUUCCGGUGUAGCGGUGAAAUGCGUAGAUAUCGGAAGGAACACCAGUGGCGAAGGCGGGUCUCUGGGCAGUAACUGACGCUGAGGAGCGAAAGCGUGGGGAGCGAACAGG
rnacentral:rRNA from 1 species